CCCUUUAACUCUGAGCCAUUAUUUACAAUUUAAUUGUUAAUUAUGCCUAAAAAAAUGAAUUGACAACUUUGGUAUUGUUUGGUAUAAACAGCUUAAUUCCUUUAUGUAAAGCCACCUUAACAUGUUUUUGCAUAAUUCUGACUCACGUUGGUUGCUAUCGGGCUUAAGCCAUAAAAAUCGAAGAAAAAAGAAGAAGACGCCCACUUUCACUUGUCAUUUCAAUGUCACUUUCCGGCCCACAAGCAUAAACGCCACCGGCAACGGGAGUUCCCAAAUCCAAACAAAGGUUGGAAGAUAUUUUUAAGUCUCCACAUCCUUCUUACUUUUCUAUAUGAAAAUAAAAUUGGACUACACCAACAAAGGUUAUGUGUUUUGCACCAGAUUGAAAGCAUCAUAGCGAAAAACGGACCUGUCAUUUCUUUAAAUUUCCAAAAGAGCCCCUGGAAAAAGAAAAAUUAAUAUCUCUGCUAAGGAAUACUAAGGCAAAUGGAUAAAAAACCUUCAGUCCAUGCAUUGGUAUGUAAUUAAUAUAAUAUUGACAAAACUACAAUGAAUGGCCUCACUACUUUUCCAC